GAUUUCUGGCUUGAAACAUUAAGCCGGCCACGGUUUCGUGUGUUAGUGCUUGAUGUUCUGGCCAUCCUUCCAAUCGCUAUUCAUCUUUCUUCAUUGAUGGGUGAGUGGUAUUGGAUCUUUUACUUUGAAAAAAUUAGAGUGUUUCAAGCAGGCUUUAUGCUAUGAAUACAUUAGCAUGGAAUAAUAAUUUAGGACUUCGGUUCUAUUUUGUUGGUUUCUAGGACUGAAGUAAUGAUUGAUAGGGAUAGUUGGGGGUGCUAGUAUUCAGCGGCCAGAGGUGAAAUUCUCGGAUUCGCUGAAGACUAACUUAUGCGAAAGCAUU
rnacentral:rRNA from 1 species